rnacentral:rRNA from 1 species
UACACUCCUGCGGGAGGCAGCAGUGGGGAAUAUUGGACAAUGGGCGCAAGCCUGAUCCAGCCAUGCCGCGUGAGUGAUGAAGGCCCUAGGGUUGUAAAGCUCUUUCACCGGUGAAGAUAAUGACGGUAACCGGAGAAGAAGCCCCGGCUAACUUCGUGCCAGCAGCCGCGGUAAUACGAAGGGGGCUAGCGUUGUUCGGAUUUACUGGGCGUAAAGCGCACGUAGGCGGACUAUUAAGUCAGGGGUGAAAUCCCGGGGCUCAACCCCGGAACUGCCUUUGAUACUGGUAGUCUUGAGUUCGAGAGAGGUGAGUGGAAUUCCGAGUGUAGAGGUGAAAUUCGUAGAUAUUCGGAGGAACACCAGUGGCGAAGGCGGCUCACUGGCUCGAUACUGACGCUGAGGUGCGAAAGCGUGGGGAGCAAACAGGAUUAGAAACCCUGGUAGUCCCA